rnacentral:rRNA from 1 species
AAACUAAAACUUUCAACAACGGAUCUCUUGGUUCUGGCAUCGAUGAAGAACGCAGCGAAAUGCGAUAAGUAAUGUGAAUUGCAGAAUUCAGUGAAUCAUCGAAUCUUUGAACGCACAUUGCGCCCCUUGGUAUUCCGAGGGGCAUGCCUGUUCGAGCGUCAUUU